rnacentral:misc_RNA from 1 species
GAAAUGCGAUAAGUAGUGUGAAUUGCAGAAUUCAGUGAAUCAUCGAAUCUUUGAACGCACAUUGCGCCCCUUGGUAUUCCAUGGGGCAUGCCUGUUCGAGCGUCAUUUGAACCUUCAAGCUUUGCUUGGUGUUGGGCGUUGUCCGUAAGGACUUGCCUCAAAAUUAUUGGCAGCAGAUUAUCAGUAGUUCAGCGCAGCACAUUUGCGUUUCUCCUCAUAGUCUACAUCCAUUAAGAUUUCAAUCGUUUGACCUCGGAUCAGGUAGGGAUACCCGCUGAACUUAA